CUUGAUUAAUUAUAAGAGGUAUAGCCUGCCCAGUGACACAUGUUUAACGGCCGCGGUAUCCUAACCGUGCGAAGGUAGCGUAAUCACUUGUUCUUUAAAUGAGGACUAGUAUGAACGGCACCACGAAGGUUAUACUGUCUCCUUUCUCCAAUCAGUAAAACUAAUCUCCCCGUGAAGAAGCGAGGAUAAAUUUAUAAGACGAGAAGACCCUAUGGAGCUUUAAACUAACCAGCAUUUGCUAUAUACAAAUUUUUAACUUAGACAAUCUAGCCCUCUGACUGGUAAUUUUCGAUUGGGGUGAUCACGGAACAAAAAAUAACCUCCGUGUCGAAAGGAUAAACCUGAGCAAAAAGCGACAGCUUUCCGCACUAAAAAAUUAACGUUCAUUGACCCAAUAUUUUGAUCAACGAAC
rnacentral:rRNA from 1 species